CCAUAGGUAAUUCUCAAUCUUUGCUUUAUUUAAAUAGAGUAAGAUUUCCAAAGAAAUUAGGCAAAGAAAGAGGAAGCUCAUAUCACAAGGGGGAACAAGAAGAUGGGUGGUUAUAAUUACAAUCUUCGCUACAGAGCUAAAGGAAACAGGCCAGAUGAUGAUCCCUUAGUGGCAUGUUGUUGCUGCCCUUGUUUGCUAGUCGGCUAUUUCUGUUCUAUCUUCAUUCAGUGUCUUGGAUUUGAUGAACACAGCCACCAUCAUUGAAAUAAACUUUUUUUUUGAGCCUUGAAUGCAAAAUAAGACUUAUGUUUGAAUGACUGGUGAAAUUCACACUUGUUUCUUGAA